UAAGAACUUUGUGACUACGGAAUCAUUUAGAAACAUUUUCUACAUUCCAGACCGCUUCUAGAACUCUGAAACUUUGUGACUGCAUUUACAAAGGAGUGUUUGAAACACAUGUGAGACCUUGGAGAGCUGCACCGUCUAGUAUGUGUGUGGCUGCCGAGCGCUUGCCAAGUGUCUGGUCCAAAUUGACAUGUGCUGUAAGUGUAAAAUAUACAUCAAAUCUGGUACAGAAAGAAAUAAUUUUAUGUUAAUUAUUGGCAGAAAUCACUAAAUUGUUUUAUUAAAAUUCUACCUAUUUCUUUAUACAUUUUCAAUGUUAUUAUAAAAAUAUUUUAAAUUAUACAUGUGGCUCAUGUUAUAUUGGGCACCAUUGUUCUAGGACUCUGAAGCUUUGCUAAUACAGGAACAUUUACAAAUGGAAGGGGGAGGUUAAGCACAUAUGACUAUCAUCAACUGCAUAUUUUCCCAGGCUUCUUGCCUUUAGUUAAUCAAGUAAUCACUUUGAAAUCACAGGAGUUGGUUUGGUUGUCAUUAGCAAAUUGGAUUGCUACCUAAAAGCAACAUCUCUCUCCUCUCAGACUUUUUUUUUUUCAUUAAUUCUGCCACUGUACUAGCCUCAUCAAAAAGAAAAAGUGACCUCAUGUGCUAUGAACCCAUCUUGUACAUUUCGGAUUGGUCAGAUUCAGCCCGUUCUCCCUCAUAGCAAAUGAAAACAACAAAUCAAAAAGCGCUUUUGGCUCCUGGCACUAACUGAAUUUGACUGCCCCUAGUUCUCGUUUUUGCUGGAGGCUGGGGUAUAAAUGCAGAGGCUCAGCAAGCCCUGCACACACCCGGCUGGGUGGAUCGGUCAGCCUGCCACCCUCCGACCAUCCCAAGAGUCUGGGCCCAAGGACGCAGGUCCACUUCCUGGGCAGACUCUGGUUUGAAACUUGCCGGUGCUGAGCUGUGUCCCUCAUAUUGCAUGCCCCAGUAGCCUAAACAUUCACAUUCCCUGCAGAGUCCCCAACUCCGUGUGAGAAAAUAACUGCAAUACUGAUUCAACACAUGCAGCCUGAUAUCAAAAUGUCUUCCCUGUGUUUGUUUGCAUUUAUUUCCUUGAUCUUAAGCCAGAACAAACUGUCAAUAAGGAACGUUUCUAAAGAUUGGGGUAUGUGUUGGUGGGGGGAAAGGAAGCCCGGGAGAAAAACAUCUGGGCAGGUUUACUUUAAGCUAACAGAGGCUGAUGUUUCUUGCUGACUGCUAACUCCUCAGGGACACAUAGCUAGGGCUCCCCUGCUAAGCCCACAGGGAACUGGCCUCCAAGCCCAGUGACUAAGGGCAUAAAUCUGGUGGUUUUGCAAAGAGAGAGGAAUGUUUAUAAUCUAUUAGUAACCCUUUGGAGAGAAGUAGAUGGGAGUUAGGAAGGAAAAUACUGCUGUCUCUCUCUCCUGCUUUCUUACACUGGAAAGUAAAAUCACUACAUUGCCAUUGGCUCUGGCUUUUGCUAGAUAAUCCAUUCAUACAUGCUCAGAACACAGCCGCCCUGUUUUGCAUCAAGAGAAGAGCAGGCUGCUCCUCUUUCCUCUCUCAGAGAUGCCAGGAGCUUGGCAGCCUCAGGAGAAACACCAAACAAGGUCCUGGGCUGCGUGGUGGCUAGACCUUCCCUCACUCCACGGUGCACACAGGCUGGGAGCUCCUAGCUCAUGUCCACUCUUUCUUUCAGGGCAAGCAGGGCCCCAAGGAGCCAGCCCCACACUGAAGUGUCGGGGAGCAAAGCUGGAGCAGAGGUGGGAUGCAGAGGUACCAGCAUUGCCUGGAACCAAGCAGCAGCAUCCGGGGCAACCUCUAUAGAGUGUCAAGUGAGGCCAGUGGUGGGAGGGAGCUGGACAGGAAAGAACACAGGGAUGAAGGACUAGGGCUGAGCACAGGGUCCCCAGACUCCAGAAAGGCAGCUGUAACUGGUGGAUAGGGGAGAAACCAGCUCAGAAGCAGCCCCAAGCGCCUGGAGCUGGGCUCCUGCUGUUUCUAGAGGGCAGGGAGCCCGGAGCCUGGGAGGAGGAAGGUGUUGAAGGGCUGAGACUGUUCAGACCUUGUACAGCCUCUCUGUUACAGUUUCAGGCUGACAGCCACACACUAGGAUUGCUAGGCACUCAGUAACAAAAUAAAGUGCUUACUGUGUGCAGUGUAAGAAGAAUGCAGACUCCUUUGCAGGAAAGAAUUCUUGUUCACUAAAGGACAAAAUUAUCCUUUUAAAUUUUGCUGGCUAAAAAUUUGCUCUGUCACUCAAGCUGCUUUGAACUCAACCAAGCACAGUUCUAAAGAAAAAGGGUAAAAUAUUCAUCCUAAUUCAUCCUUUUCCUUAAGUCAUGCUGGUUGGUUUCUUGUUAGAUUUCUGUCUCCGCCUUGUCCAAAGGUAUUUGCUAUUUUUAAAUCAUCACAGUGUUUCUAUAUAUGUGUGUGCUGAUUUCUUCACAUAACAUGCUAACAUAAGCAUGGAUGUGUGUUUCUACAUAGACUUAAUGAUCAUCAUAUUUACUGAUUUUAAUGCCCUUUGAAAUAUAUAUGUAAUAAUUUAGGUAACUGCCUAGUGCUGGACAUUCUAGAAUUCUUACAUGAACAUUGUUGUAUUUAUAUUUUUCCUUCUAUAGGGUUUCCUUAAAGCAGAUUAUUAAAAAAGAGAUUAAUGGGCCAGAGUUCUUACAAAGAUAAAGUGAUUUUUGUUUGUGUGUUUUUUGAUGUGUAUUUCCACAUUGCUCUCCAGUUAAAACCUGUAGCAACAAGUGUGGGUCUGUCAGAUUCAUCACAUCUUCAUCAGCUUGGGGUGGGUUUUUGUUUUGUUUUGCUAUUUUGCAAAAUGGUAGAAUCAGUGGAAUUUUUAUCUUAUUUUUUUAAAUUCUUAUUGAUAUCAUUAUGUUCCAUGUCUCAUAGUGACGUGAUCAAGCAUACUUUAAAAUAAAGGCAAAUACUUUGAAGUAAAAGUAUGUCUGUAAUUUUGUUUGGCUGGGCUUUAAGCAUCCUAAACUAAGAGCAAGCAUUUAAAAAGUUUUCCACCUUUCCAAGUAUUUAAAUCUGUUUUCCAUUUCAGAUUGCUCUUUUAUAUGGCAAUUUCCAUUUUUCUCUGCCAUAUAUUUUAUUAAAAAUUUAAAUGUAUUUAAACCGUCUCAUUCCAUGAAAGAGAAAAGCACAACUUUAGUAAAGUGCAUUCGAAUAAUUAAAGUCCAUGGCAAAAGCAAUAGGGAAGACAGUCAUGCAUCUCUUGUGGUCCUUAUUAAUGGGUCCACAUGCACACACAUCUCCAACCAGCCCCCUUUGUGUAGCUUGUCAGAGGACAUUAGCUGAGACUAAUCUGGAAGCCACUUCCUGGCUCCCAAAUGGACAUAGUCACCAAAUAAGAAAGACUCAUUUAUCAGAAUAAAAACUUUGCUACGUGAGGAUUGUGCAAAGCUUAUUUCAUGCAUCAUUAUCUGGGCCUGAUUAGCAGUGAUGGAAAUUGGUCCUCAAUUUUUAACAAUCAGCGGAAAACAAACCUUCAGCUUUCACUGAAGAUAGACAAUUGCCAUAGACAUGUCUCUGUGUUUUCUGCACAAUAGGAAAAUAGAGGCAAGAGCCCUUGCAAAGACAGUUUUUAAAUUGUUUUGGCAGCAGUUGUCUCACAGAUGCCAUUGUCCCUGUGACGCAAAUAAAGCCAGAUCCCGCUCUCUGAGCAGACGGGUUGACAUCUUCCUGGAUGCCCCGUGCCACAGGGGCCACAUUAUUAUGUGUUGUGGCCCCAGAUGCAGCUGGUCCUUCUUGGCCUUCGGGGGCAGGCAGGCCUGGUUCCGGAUGCCAGUGUGACCUGGGCAGCUCUGUAGUCUCUCCGUACAUAGUUUCAUCUCUGUACAACAGUGACAACAACACUACCUGCCUGAAAAACUGUGAGGGUUAUAAUAAGAUAAUUUAUGCAAAAGAGCUCUGUUCGGGGGCUGGCACAAAGGCAUGCAGACAGGCCUCACACUGCUAGGAACUUCCUCCUGUUAAGUCUGAGAGGAGGCCCUUGGGAAGGGUCUUGCGGAGUCCAGGGUGGAGCAGUUACUCCUGUUACUGUUGCUGUGAGGUUUUUUGGCCAUCCUUAUUGUCUUUAUGUCCCAGUUCAAGAUUCUAGGGAGUACAGCUCUUCAAGUGGCAUUAUCAGGCCCCCAAGCCCUGCCCCUGCAAGUGGCAUUAUCAGGCUCCCUGUCACCCACCAAGGGUAGGAAUUAAGCCAAAGUAAACAUAGAGUCUGUAAAAGUCAUUUAUAGUAGAGGAGUGAAAUUUCUCGUUUUCUGAGUCUGGCAGGGUGGGCCACUGCUAGGGUGGACACAGAUGGAGGCUGAGCUUAUGAAGUUGGUGGGACUUCUGGGAACACUCCCCCAUGCAGCCCUGCACAACCCUCCCCACGGACCUCCUAACAGCAGGCAGAUCCUGCACCAGAGGUAUGUAGCCUUUAUCACUGGGACCUUGAACGACGCUGCACUCAAAUCCCCAAGUGCCAAGGAACAGCCGGGCUGUGCAGUGUUGAGGUGAGGUGGACCAGCCUCCAGCCACGUGCACAUGCUUGGCCUCCAGAUGGCUUCACUCCUUCUUGCCAGGUGCCAGGUGCAGGGGACUGCUGUAGCGCAAGGCACAGAUGCAAGCAAAUCCUGGAUCACGUGAACCGUCUUUUGUGCAGUGGAAUUAAAACUUUGACUUCAGUCUGCAGAGUGAAUGAAAGCUGUGUGUGGUUUGGUUACUGUAACACUUUGGGGCCCCCCCCACACACCAUAUAUCACAUGUCCACCACAUACAAGACAUAUACUCCACACAUGCACACACGCUACACGCAUCCCACACAUACCUGUGCACACACACGGGGGACACACACACCCAUGAACAAUCUGUGUCUCCGUAGUUCUGAGGACAACAGCAGUACAGUGAGUAUGUGACUGCUUGAAUUUGAGUAUGAGCUGUUCUAUCCUCAGAUAUUCCUGGAAAGGAGUACAUUAAAUCAAUAGUAAGAGAAAUGAGUGCUCCUUUCUCUUUGGUCUUCCCUAGAACUGAAAAAGCUGUCACAGCCUCAAAUGAUGAAGAAGACCUAUUAAUUGCUGGAGAGUUCCAUAAAACCCUUGCAGAACUUGAUGAAGACCUGGAAGAAAUGGAAGACAGCUAUGAAACAGACACCAGCUCCCUCACCAGCUCCAUCCAUGGUGCAUCCAACCACUGCCCACAGGAUGCCAUGAUCCCUCACGGCGACACAGAUGCAAUCCCAGUAACAUUCAUAGGGGAAGUUUCAGAUGAUCCUGUGGAUUCAGGGUUGUUUUCCAAUAGAAACAACAAUGCUGGGUCUUUCGACUCGGAGGGUGUUGCCCGCAGGAGAGCCUCCCUGGCGCCACUUCAAGCUGAGCACAGCCAGGCCCAUGAAAAGGCAAGGGAGGAAGUACCUGCCCUGCACCCCGCUUCCCGUGACAUCGGAAAAGGAAUCCGUGUGGCCUUAUCCAACAUCUCUAAAGAUGGGAAUCUAAUGGAAACGGCGCCCAGGGUGACUUCUUUUGCUUCGAAUCUUCACACAGACAACCUAAAUGCAAAAGUGAAAGACAAAGUGUAUGGCUGUGCUGAUGGGGAGAGGACUCAAGCCACAGAGAGAGUGAAUUCCCAACCGGUGAAUGAAAAGGACAGCAACGAUAAAAACGCUGCCUUGGCACCAACAUCAUGGCACCAACGAGGCCAAAACCCAGGGAAAAGCUACAGACUUAAGCACGGCCUCACAACAUAUAAAAUCAUUCCUCCAAAGUCAGAGAUGCGAUGUUACGACAGAGAUGUGUCCCUCUCCACCGGAGCCAUUAAGAUUGACGAGCUGGGGAACUUGGUGAGUCCUCACACCACCGGCAUCAGGAUCAUUUCCCUGUCUUCGUCUGUGCCUGAAGCAGAAUCUCAGCCCAUUGGGAAAGUCAAAGAGUUCUGGAGGUGCAACUCUGUGGAAAAACACCUGGGCCGACCCUCAGAAAGCUCGGCCAGGGGACCCCCCUCCACCCCUGUGCCCACGCAGACGCAGCAUCCAGAGAGCAGACUCCAAGCAGACCCCAAGCCAAUAUCGCCCCAGCAGAAGUCUGCCCACCAUGAGGGCCGGAACCCCCUAGGGGAGGGGAGAAACCAGCCCCCCACCAUGGGCAUGGGUCACAUGAGGGUGCCAGCAGCUCACACCACAGAAGUCACAUUUCUCAAGCCUCAGAGAAGAACGUCCAGCCAGUAUGUGGCCUCUGCCAUUGCCAAGCGCAUAGGAGCCCCAAAAGUCCAUGCUGAUGUGGUGAGGCCACACGGUCAUGCCGAGAAGGGUUAUGCAGGCAGGGCGCCAGUGCUGGCUGCACCACCUGUCACUGUGAAAGAUGACAGGACAUCCAGCCCACACUCAGAGACACAAGGAUGGAAGGAUGGUGCCCAGUGGCCCUGUGUCACUCCUCCCAACAACCACGGGGAAGAUUUGGCAGUGGGAGCCCCUCCUAGGGGGGAGGUCAUUGGCCCACACAGGAAGUUGUCUACUCAGGACAGACCUGCUGCUAUCCACAGAAGCUCCUGUUUCUCACUGGUUCAGUCUUCCCAGAGGGAUCGUGUUUCUGUGGGACAGAGCUGUGGUUUCAGUGGAAAGCAAAGCACAAGUAGCCAGGAGGCCAGCUCAGCAUCUGAGCCCAGACGCGCACCUGACGGUACAGACCCACCCCCUCCACACACAUCUGACACUCAGGCCUGCAGCAAGGAGCUGGCCAAUGGCUGUGUGCGCGCCCCGGGCCAUGGCGAGCCUUCCCACCCUCCAGGAGGGUCUGGCACAGAAAGCCACAUUCUCCUAGAAAGAGAGGAAAAGCCCAGUGUGUUCUCUACAGAUGGAAAUGAAACAGACAGUAUUUGGCCACCUAGCAUUUUUGGGCCGAAGAAAAAAUUCAAACCUGUUGUCCAGAGACCAGUCCCAAAAGACACAUCCCUGCACUCUGCCCUGAUGGAAGCCAUCCACUCUGCGGGAGGGAAGGACAGACUACGCAAGACGGCAGAACACACUGGGGAGGGCAGGCCAGCGAAACUGUCCUACACGGAGGCAGAGGGCGAACGAUCUGCACUGCUGGCAGCUAUCCGCAGGCACAGCGGCACCUGCAGCCUGAGGAAGGUGGCAUCCUCUGCUUCUGAGGAGCUCCAGAGCUUCCGAGAUGCCGCACUCUCUGCACAGGGCUCGGAAAGUCCUCUGCUAGAAGACCUUGGUCUUCUGUCCCCACCAGCCGUUCCCCCACCACCCCCUCCACCCUCCCAGGCUCUCUCUGCACCAAGGACGGCCUCCAGGUUCAGCACGGACACCCUCAGCAACACCGCAGACGCAAGGCAAGCCUUGAUGGACGCCAUCCGCUCCGGCACAGGGGCUGCGAGACUGAGAAAGGUGCCCUUGCUCGUGUGAAUGAACAGAGGCCAGAGAAUUGCAGAAACCCACCUGUAAUAUGCCCACAGGCGUCACUCAAGGAGUCUGCAUAGCCAGGAACAUCAAGUUUUGGUGUUACUUUCUUGUCUACAGGCCAAAAUGCGCACAGUUGAUUUUUGGUGUGUUCCUGUAUAACGGCUUGAAAGGAAAGGAGAAGAUGCUGUGUUGCUGCGCAGCUCGUGUGCCAAGGAAAUGUGUUUUGCCUCUGAAUAUCUUAAGUUGCUAAUAAACGAUUCUUGUUGGCAGGUUAA
rnacentral:sRNA from 1 species